GUGCUCACUUUGGCAGCACAUGCACUAAAACUGGAAUGAUACAGAGAUUAGCAUGGCCGCUGCGCAAGGGUGACACGCAAAUUUGUGAAGCGUUCUAUAUUUUU
ensembl:snRNA U6 U6 spliceosomal RNA